rnacentral:rRNA from 1 species
AACGAACGCUGGCGGCAUGCCUAACACAUGCAAGUCGAACGAGACCUUCGGGUCUAGUGGCGCACGGGUGCGUAACGCGUGGGAAUCUGCCCUUGGGUUCGGAAUAACAGUUAGAAAUGACUGCUAAUACCGGAUGAUGUCUUCGGACCAAAGAUUUAUCGCCCAGGGAUGAGCCCGCGUAGGAUUAGCUAGUUGGUGGGGUAAAGGCCUACCAAGGCGACGAUCCUUAGCUGGUCUGAGAGGAUGAUCAGCCACACUGGGACUGAGACACGGCCCAGACUCCUACGGGAGGCAGCAGUGGGGAAUAUUGGACAAUGGGCGAAAGCCUGAUCCAGCAAUGCCGCGUGAGUGAUGAAGGCCUUAGGUUGUAAAGCUCUUUACCCGGGAUGAUAAUGACAGUACCGGGAGAAUAAGCCCCGGCUAACUCCGUGCCAGCAGCCGCGGUAAU